AGUUCUCAACUGCAUCAAUCUUUUUGAUGUGGCUUUUGGAUAUGGGAGUUUUUGCAGGCUUUUGAAAAUGAAGAGUCUGCUCUCCUGAAAUGAAUUAGUGGUAUCUGAGCAGUAGACAACUACUACAGGUGUGAUAAAUUAUCUACGCCUUGGUACACUGCAUGAACAGAUUGCACUGCUUCUAACAAGUGGGAAACACAUUUGAUGA
rnacentral:misc_RNA from 1 species